rnacentral:rRNA from 1 species
CGGCAGGCCUAACACAUGCAAGUCGAGCGGUAGGGAAGCUUGCUUCCCACGAGCGGCGGACGGGUGAGUAAUGUAUGGGGAUCUGCCCGAUAGAGGGGGAUAACUACUGGAAACGGUAGCUAAUACCGCAUAAUCUCUCAGGAGCAAAGCAGUUCGUUGCGCUAUCGGAUGAACCCAUAUGGGAUUAGCUAGUUGGUGAGGUAAUGGCUCACCAAGGCGACGAUCCCUAGCUGGUCUGAGAGGAUGAUCAGCCACACUGGGACUGAGACACGGCCCAGACUCCUACGGGAGGCAGC